rnacentral:rRNA from 1 species
GGACCCGCACAAGUAGUGGAGCAUGUGGUUUAAUUCGAAGAUACGCGCAGAACCUUACCAACACUUGACAUGUUCGUCGCGACUUUAAGAGAUUAAAGUUUUCGGUUCGGCCGGACGAAACACAGGUGCUGCAUGGCUGUCGUCAGCUCGUGUCGUGAGAUGUUGGGUUAAGUCCCGCAACGAGCGCAACCCUCACUUUUAGUUGCCAUCAUUUAGUUGGGCACUCUGAAAGAACUGCCAGUGAUAAGCUGGAGGAAGGUGGGGAUGACGUCAAGUCCUCAUGGCCCUUACGUGUUGGGCUACACACGUGCUACAAUGGCAUCUACAACAGGAAGCAAGACAGCGAAGUUAAGCAAAUCCCUAAAAGAUACCUCAGUUCGGAUUGCACUCUGCAACUCGAGUGCAUGAAGCUGGAAUU